CUGAGUUAUCUAACUCCAAACCCAUGUGAACAUAUCUAUCGUUGCCUCGGCGGGAACAGCCUACCCGGUACCUACCCGGGAGCUACCCUGUAGCUGCGGGCUGCCUCGCCGGUGGAUUAUCAAACUCUUGUUUUUAUGUGGCACUUCUGAGUACACUUUUAAAAUAAGUCA
rnacentral:misc_RNA from 1 species